rnacentral:rRNA from 1 species
AUUGAACGCUGGCGGCAUGCCUUACACAUGCAAGUCGAACGGUAACAGGUCUUCGGAUGCUGACGAGUGGCGAACGGGUGAGUAAUACAUCGGAACGUGCCUAGUAGUGGGGGAUAACUACUCGAAAGAGUGGCUAAUACCGCAUGAGAUCUACGGAUGAAAGCAGGGGAUCGCAAGGCCUUGUGCUACUAGAGCGGCCGAUGGCAGAUUAGGUAGUUGGUGGGAUAAAAGCUUACCAAGCCGACGAUCUGUAGCUGGUCUGAGAGGACGAUCAGCCACACUGGGACUGAGACACGGCCCAGACUCCUACGGGAGUCAGCAGUGGGGGAUUUUGGACAAUGGGCGCAAGCCUGAUCCAGCAAUGCCGCGUGCAGGAUGAAGGCCUUCGGGUUGUAAACUGCUUUUGUACGGAACGAAAAGCCCUGGGUUAAUACCCUGGGGUCAUGACGGUACCGUAAGAAUAAGCACCGGCUAACUACGUGCCAGCCGCCGCGGUAAUAC